rnacentral:rRNA from 1 species
GACGAACGCUGGCGGCGUGCCUAAUACAUGCAAGUCGAACGCACAGUUUAUACCGUAGCUUGCUACACCAUAGACUGUGAGUUGCGAACGGGUGAGUAACGCGUAGGUAACCUGCCUGGUAGCGGGGGAUAACUAUUGGAAACGAUAGCUAAUACCGCAUAAUAUUAAUUAUUGCAUGAUAAUUAAUUGAAAGGUGCAAUUGCACCACUACCAGAUGGACCUGCGUUGUAUUAGCUAGUAGGUGAGGUAACGGCUCACCUAGGCGACGAUACAUAGCCGACCUGAGAGGGUGAUCGGCCACCCUGGGACUGAGACACGGCCCAGACUCCUACGGGAGGCAGCAGUAGGGAAUCUUCGGCAAUGGACGAAAGUCUGACCGAGCAACGCCGCGUGAGUGAAGAAGGGUUUCGGAUCGUAAAGCUCUGUUGUAAGAGAAGAACGGGUGUGAGAGUGGAAAGUUCACACUGUGACGGUAGCUUACCAGAAAGGGACGGCUAACUACGUG